GAAGAAGACUCUUCUCUUAAAUGUACGUGUAAAUCAGAAAAGACAAGCUACUGAUACUUAACACCCUUGAGCUCAAAGUAGCAACUAACCAAGAAAACCCUACUUUCAUUAGUGUUAACCUAACACAAGAACAUUCCGAGAAAGAUUUAAAGAAAAAGAAGGAACUCGGCAAAUAUUAACCUCGCCUGUUUACCAAAAACAUCGCCUCUUGAAUUUCUAUAAGAGGUCCAGCCUGCCCAGUGACCCUGUUCAACGGCCGCGGUAUCCUAACCGUGCGAAGGUAGCGUAAUCACUUGUUCUCUAAAUGUGGACUAGUAUGAAUGGCAUCACGAAGGUUAUACUGUCUCCUUUUUCUAAUCAGUGAAACUAAUCUCCCCGUGAAGAAGCGGGGAUAGCACUAUAAGACGAGAAGACCCUAUGGAGCUUCAAACAAUGCAGCAUCUGCCCCACAACACUGAAAUUUCCGAAUUAAAACUCCUCUGGGCAGUGUGACUGCGAGUUUUUGGUUGGGGUGACCACGGAGCAUAACAUAACCUCCAUGCUGAAAGAAUAUUUCUAAGCUAAGAACCACAAAUCCAAGCAUCAAUAAAUUGACAUCCAUUGACCCAAUACACUUGAACAACGAACCAAGUUACCCUAGGGAUAACAGCGCAAUCCACUUCAAAAGCUCCUAUCGACAAGUGGGUUUACGACCUCGAUGUUGGAUCAGGGUCUCCCAGUGGUGCAGCCGCUACUAAAGGUUCG
rnacentral:rRNA from 1 species